rnacentral:rRNA from 1 species
GAUGAACGCUGGCGGCGUGCCUAAUACAUGCAAGUCGAGCGAACAGACGAGGAGCUUGCUCCUCUGAUGUUAGCGGCGGACGGGUGAGUAACACGUGGAUAACCUACCUAUAAGACUGGGAUAACUUCGGGAAACCGGAGCUAAUACCGGAUAACAUGUUGAACCGCAUGGUUCAACAGUGAAAGACGGUCUUGCUGUCACUUAUAGAUGGAUCCGCGCCGCAUUAGCUAGUUGGUAAGGUAACGGCUUACCAAGGCAACGAUGCGUAGCCGACCUGAGAGGGUGAUCGGCCACACUGGAACUGAGACACGGUCCAGACUCCUACGGGAGGCAGCAGUAGGGAAUCUUCCGCAAUGGGCGAAAGCCUGACGGAGCAACGCCGCGUGAGUGAAGAAGGUCCUCGGAUCGUAAAACUCUGUUAUUAGGGAAGAACAAAUGUGUAAGUAACUAUGCACGUCUUGACGGUACCUAAUCAGAAAGCCACGGCUAACUACGUG